UCUGUCGAAAGGAAAGGCAGUGAGCAUUCACCUAGAUAACAAGGAAGAGCAUAAUACGGUCAAGAAAGCUGUUGAACGUGAAAAGAAAUCGAAGGCUGUUCCAGCUCGUACCAAGUGAGGAUCCGAGUCUUUCUACAAUGUAUAAAACAGUUAAGAUCCAUUCAAUUUAGUCUUGUUGGCGUUCUAAAGAUGUGUGUGAUAUGUUGUCAUUCAAAAUUCUAAUAUUGAAUCCCGAUGAAGAAUCAUAUUUUAGAAUUUAAGGCCUUACUAGUCAUAGUGCCCGCGCAUUGCUGCAGGUGUUAUAAGUGUAUAAAACAUGUAAAAAGUUGGACCUUAAAGUACAAAAUAAGGAGCAAAAUUAGGGUCUUCAAUAUCAAAGUCUCUGCCAAAAUGAUCUUGGAUCUUCAGCUCAUGCUAUAAACCUGGGUACUAAAACAAUGUAAAUUAUUGAAACAAUGACAAUAAAUCUUGUCACUUGAAUUUCAUCUAGGUUUGAUCUAAAUUUGAACUACAUGCUGAUGAUCUGAAUGAAAGAAGGUAAUGGUAACAAUAGAAAUUGGUUCGAAUUUCUGAUGUCGUGUCAGUGGAUUUUAAUUUUUUAGACCACUAUGCCUAUUAUAUUUGUAGUAAGGAACGAACAUUCACAUAUAACAAAAGGUUCAGGUUUUAUCAAGACAUUUCAACACAGUUAACUAUCCAUGCAGAGCUUUUAAAUUAGUUUCCGAAAAGAAAAGUAACGUCUCGUUUCGAAUUUUAUUAUCUAAAUCUUACCCUUAUGCGAUUUAAAACUCGAAAAGAUGCCCAAACUAUAGCGAUCCUUUGCAAAAGAAACCGGCAAACAAAGAAAAAAGAACAAACCAUGAGCAAUAAAACUCACAGACCAUACUACACAAAAUCCCUAUAACGUAAAUUGAUAAAGCAUUUUACCCAAUCCAAUUGAAUUCCUGCUCACAACACGUAAGAAAAACUAAUAAACCAUUUUAUCAAAAUAACCGUUUAAUUUUAAACAUUUAAAACCGAAGAGAACCAAACGCGCAUAUUUGUAAAAAAAAAAAAUGGAGUGUUUUGAGUAUCUAAACCUCACCCGCAUCACUUAAAAAAUGUAGCAGCCCCAAUGGAAAGAAAACUUGCAAAACGUCGUCCCAGCACAAACACAACAUAUUAAACAAACAAAUGAAGACAAAAAAAAUUUAAAAACCGACAAUGAACGAUAAAAUUCAGAAAUCCCAAGACACAAAAUGGCAAACAACAUAAAAAUUAGUAAUAAAAGUUAUGAAAAAACAGACACCACUAUAGACAUCGAAAUUUCGGUAAAUAAAUGUUGACCAAUAAAUCAAAGUUUCAAUGCUCAUGUAUUACAUAAAUUUAACACGUAGCGUGUGUCUAAACAAAAAAUCGAAAUAAGUUGGAAAAGUCAUCAAACAUGACACGUGUCAACACCUGGCAGAAACGACUUAUUUCAUUUGGAAUAUUAUAUUCAAAAUUAGGCCUUGGAAAAUUCUAUAAAUACAAGCCCAUUUCAUUCAUUUAGGGGGGGAACCAAUUGAUAUUACACCUUGAAGCUCUGAAGCUCUGAAACUCCGAAGCUCUCAAGCAUCCAGGUUCCCGAAGAAUCAAGAAAGCCUUCUUCGUUCUUCGUUCAUCAUUCUUCCAAGAUCAAGCCCCGACAGCCCUUGAAGAAAGUGUUCUUCGUUCAUCGUUCUUCCAAGAUCAAGCCCCAACGGCCCUUUAGAUCAACAAUCAUCCACCAAUUCAAGAUCAAGCCCCGACAGCCCUUGAAGAAAGUGUUCUUCGUUCUUCGUUCAUCGUUCUUCCAAGAUCAAGCCCCGACGGCCCUUGGAUCAACCAUCCACCAAUUCAAGAUCAAGCCCCGACGGCCCUUGAAGAAAGCACCAUCGUUCAUCAUCCGUUCAUCCAAGAUCAAGCCCCAACGGCCCUUUGGAUCAACAACGUCAACAAAUCCACACAUCCAACCGUUCUUCAAGAUAAAGCCCAAAAGCCCUUGAAGAUCCGUUCAUCUUUGUUCUUCAAGAUCAAGCCCAAAAGCCCUUGGAGAUCCGUUCGUCAUUGUUCUUCAAAGAUCAAGCCCAAAAGCCCCUUUGAAGAUCCGCUCAAAUCCACCUUCAAGAUCAAGUCCACGGCCCUUGAAGAACGUUCAUCCUUAGAUCAAGCCCAACGGUCCUUUGGAUCAAUCACACAUCCACAAAUUGACACCUUACGGAGAUCGAAUCAGAUGAUCAAAAUAGAGAGAGAUUGUAACCCAAAACCAUCAAAAAUACAAAUAUUUGUUUGUGCACGUUGUUCUUGUCUCUUUCGUUUCAGGAAUUUUUCGUGUUCAUAAAUUGGCACGCCCGGUGGGAUAAUCUCUGCCUCUCAUCUCUUUCUCCGUUUAAGGAAUCCAAGCACACCUCAAAGUCAAUGGCAUCAAGCGAGGGACAAGCUGUUCUUGCAACCACUGAGGGAAGGAUCCUAAACACUUCUGCCGCAAACGGACAAUCCAUUGGCGCCACAACCGCUCCUCAACAUGCCACUUCAAAAUUAGUGCCGCUAAAAGAGCAAGGGGAGCAUCCAAGGUGUGAGUCUGUCAUCAACCUGACCUCGCUGGGGGCACCGAAGCAUGAUGUUGAGGCACACAAGAUGACGUCCCAAAGCAGCCAACGAUGUUCUUCGUCAGCAUCUUGAAUGUUUAAAGGAAAGUCACGUCUAUUGGUCGCACAAGUUAUGACUAUCGGCGUUACCUCCGUUGAAGAACAACUGGCUCAAAUGAAUGAAGCGAUUGCAAGGCUAACACAGAUUGUGGAAGAAAAAGACUUGCAAAUUGCUGCACUCGUCAGCCGACUGCAGCCACAGGACGGCGAUAACCCUAACCUAGAGAAUGAUCCACUAAAGAGAAGAGACGACGAAGAAGAGAAGCCUCAGGUGUAGAAAAACCAUGUGAAGCCGGAGCCAGACCAAGCAGCGGCACUCAUGGGAUCUCUUUCUAUCCAGCAGCUACAGGAAAUGAUCACCAACACCAUCAAGGCACAGUACGAAGGGAGCUCACAUACCUCCUUAUUUUACUCGAAACCCAAAGCAGCACGUUGCACAUUUCGUCGAAACUUGCAACAACGCGGGGACGGAGGGAGACUACCUCGCCAAGCAGUUUGUGCGCUCGUUGAAAGGAAAUGCCUUUGAGUGGUACACGGACCUAUAACAGAUGGGAGCAAUUAGAGCGGGAAUUCCUCAACCGCUUCUAUAGCACCCGCCGUACUGUGAGCAUGCUAGAGCUAACGAGCACAAAGCAGUGGAAGGACGAGCCAGUCAUUGACUACAUCAACAGAUGGCGCACUCUAAGCCUCGACUGUAAAGACAGUCUCUCGGAAACCUCUUCAAUCGAGAUGUGCAUCCAAGGCAUGCAAUGGGGUUUGCAAUACAUCCUUCAAGGCAUUAAACCGCGGACCUUCGAGGAAUUGGCCACUCGCGCCCAUGACAUGGAGUUGAGCAUCGCCCAUCAUGGGAAGAAAGAACCGAUCGCCGACUACAAGAAUGACAAAGUUCUUGGGAUAAAGGUGGAAAAGGCUGCAUGGAAACCCACUAAGGAAACGAUGACGGUCAACACAUCUCCCGUCAAAAUAUCCACGCGAGGCAAGGCGAUUUAAAUCGAAGCUUUUCGUGAUCAAAAGACACGUAGACGCACUUUGAAGGAGCUUGAAGAGAAGACUUAUCCAUUUCCCGACUUUGAUGUGGUUGCCAUGCUAGAUGACAUGUUGGACAAGAAGGUGAUCAGUUUGCCUGAGUGCAGACGGCCGGAAUAGAUGAAUCGUACUGACAGUCCAAGAUACUGUAAAUUCCACCGCUUCAUCAGUCAUCCGACAGAAAAGUGUUUCGUGCUGAAAGAUCUCAUCAUGAAGCUGGCUCAGAAAGGAAUCAUCGAGCUAGAUCUUGACGAUGUGGUGGAGUCAAACUAUACCACCUUCACUUUUGGCUCUUCCGACUUAAAGUUUUCACUUCAACCGCUGGGGGCAUCCUCCAAGACAAGCAAAGUUGAAGGAUGGACUCAAGUCACUCCUAAGAAAUUGCACAAGAAGCAUACGCCUCCUCCACAAAUCCGCCAAUCGGAAAGGGGGCAAAACAGCUCUUGUCAACCUUCAAAGCAACGUGAACGUGUUGAAGAUGAUGAAAUUUCGACACAUAGAUCGUCCAUCCCCAUCACGAUGCGUGAUUUCUUUCCUGAAGACUUCUUCAACUACUCAGUCAAGGCUCCUUGCUAUGAAGAUUGCGAGGAACGACUCUCUCAGAUCGCUUGACAAACCAAUGCUCCUUGUUCGCACGAGCCUAAAACUGCACGAACCAAAUAUCCUGGUCUGCAUGAGCAUAAAAGGCAACACAAAAGCUCCUUGUCUGUAAAAGCCUAAACUGCAAGACACAAGGCUCCUCGCCUACACGAGCCUAAACUGCAUGACAUAACGCUCCUGGUCUGCACCAGCAUAAAAGGCAACACCAACGCUCCUUGCCUGCACGAGCUGAAACUGCAACACGGCACCAAAUGCUCCUUGCCUGCACGAGUUGAAACUGCAAACGACACCAACACUCCUUGCCUGCAUGAGUUAAAACUGCAAACGACACAAAAAGAAAAUACCAAAAAUAUGUAUGUUUUUGAACUACGUUUUGACUUUGGAAGGGUACGUAGGCAGCUCGAGCAUUCGAUUUCGAGUUCAGUCACAUAAAAAAAAGGGAUUUGAUUAAAGUUUCAUUGGUGAAGGUCAAUUUUAUUACAAAAUUACUUGCAGUUUUCUUUGUACAAAAUUAAAUUACAGUUUCUUUGAAAAGAAAAAAAAAACACAUAUGUUAUCUAAAAAAAAAAAAAAUAUAUAUAUAUAUAUAUAUACAUGUCUGAGCCCAGCCACAAAAUCAGGCCCGUCUCCUCAGACCCAAACUGUGAGCCCAACAAGCUCAGGCUCGGCUCUCAGAGCAGAAAAUCUCAAAUUUGCCGUCCUUCCGUUUUCACACAAUCCUCCCUCCCUUCGUUCCAUGCCUCCGAGUCCGAGUCGCUCUUCCAAUUGAAUAAAUCCGGCGACCUAAUUCGGAUCCGACCCGGAAACCAGAACCCAACCAAACCCAACCGCCGAGUCGAAUUUGGAUUUGUGAGGGAGGAGGGCAGCCAUGGCGUGCAAGGCAGAUGAUGACUAUGAUUAUCUGUUCAAGGUGGUGUUGAUUGGUGACUCCGGCGUCGGAAAAUCCAACCUUUUGUCGAGAUUCACGCGCAACGAGUUCAGCCUCGAGUCGAAGUCGACGAUCGGCGUCGAGUUCGCCACUCGGAGUAUCCACGUUGAUGAGAAUAUCGUCAAGGCCCAGAUUUGGGAUACCGCUGGCCAAGAAAGGUACCGUGCAAUUACAAGUGCAUACUACCGAGGAGCUGUUGGCGCUUUGCUUGUCUAUGACGUCACCCGGCAUGUGACAUUUGAGAAUGUUGAGAGAUGGUUGAAGGAGCUACGGGAUCACACAGACUCCAUCAUUGUGAUAAUGCUCGUGGGUAACAAAGCUGACCUGCGUCACCUGCGUGCUGUUUCUGUUGAGGAUGCUAAGGCUUUUGCCGAGAGAGUCGGGGCAGUUUUCAGGCUCCGAACCCCACCGUCAACAAUGUUUUGCUUGAGACUCUCCUCCCAUACGGUCUGCCGAUGUCCGAUCUCCUUAAGCCCCAAAUCGAACCAUCCCUCAAAUCGGUUGAUUUUGUCGAAACCCUAGCUUACUUGUAUUCGAUUCAGUUCUCUCUUAGUCUGUACACCCCUCAAAUCACCAUUUCCCUUGCCAACAAGCCCACCACAGGCCACAAGUCGACCUAGGACCAGCUGCUCUUGCUCCUUUUGUAGCAGCGCCGUCAGCAGAGUCAUGAGAGAGGCAGGUUUCUCCAGCACCAACGUCAAGAACAACUUGGAGGACUCGUCAACGUCCUCCGUUUUCCAGUGUUACAGCAAUUCCGCCAACUCUUCCUCUCCCCCAAUCUGCGAGCGGACCAAGCAGGUUUUGGCUGGUUCGUUUCUCCACUCGUUUUUCCAAAAAAACCAUCGAAUCCUGCAUUCAAGUUUCUCCCUUUCUCUGAUGAAUGGGAUGAUAGUGAUCCCUAUGACAUUUGGGAAUUUUGGAUUUUGAUUUGCUUCCACAGAUGAUGUCGUGACAGAUCCCUAAAAGAUGGCAUAUUGGUGUUUGGCAUGGAUGGAUCUUGUUUUUUUCUUUUGUUUUGUGAUAAACCCAGAUGGAAUGUUUAACAAUUCUGGAUGGUUAAUUGUGUGAUGCAUACUUGCAAAAUGGAAAGCAUCGAAAUCCAUGCCAUAUUGCUGGGUUUGUGCUUUAUGUGCCAUCCAGAAGCACGUCGGCAUAGCAUGGCAAAUAGGGCAGCGUCUCCGCCGUUAAACAUAAUCCUUUGCAGCAAUUGGCAGUGCAACGGAUGCGCAGUGGCGGUGCUCGAUGGCAGUACAACGGGUGUGCAGCGGCUGUGCUCAGUGGUUGGGCUCAGUGGCUGUGCUCUGGAUUCUAGCUGGAUCCGACAUCAAGGUCACCUCCACCUCCUCCGUCUCUUGCCUCGCAGCUGCCAACAACUUCAAAGACCGAUGUCAAACGACUAGCCGGCCGAGAAGCUCUUCCUCAAACUCGAGCUCCGCUCCCUGCAAAUUCCUCUACCCACCACCCAAAUUUAUACAGAAAAAAUAUAUUAAAAAAAAAAAGGGGAUGGUGGAGCAAAGUGGUGAUGGCACCACGUGAAAAAAAAAAAGGUGCAUCUGGCACCAUGAUUAAAGGCCAAAAAAAAAAAAAAAAAAAGAGUUUGAUCUUUGGUGCGUCUGGCACCACGUGAAAAAGUGGGGUGCGCCAUGAUUAAAGGCAAUAUAUAUAUAUAUAAUUUAAAAAAUAAAAUUAAAAAUUAAAAAAUUUAAAUUUAAAUUUAAAAUUAAAAAAUGUUUUAUCUCUGGUGCGUCUGGCACCAUGAUUAAAGAAAAAUAAAUAAAUAAAAAAAAAGAAAAAAAAUGUUUGAUGUUUGGUGCUCUGGCACCAUGUGCAAAAAAAAAAAGGAAAAGAAAGGAAAAUAUAAAAAAAUGGAUGGUGCAUCUGGCACCAUGUGCAAAAAAAAAGCAUUAAGAGAAAUAAAAGUCCAUUUUAUUUAUUUUUUUUGGAAAUUUUACAUAAAUUCGCAUUCCACGUGUCAUAAAAUUAAAAAAAAGAAAAAAAAAAGACAAAUCAAAUUUACAGGAGGGGAUCUUCAAGAUUGAUCCGAUGGCGCCUCAGUACUCGGCGGAACCCCAGGAGGAGGAGGCACCGAAGGUUGAUCAUUUGAGGCUUCAUUACGCAGUACAGCCCCAGAAGACGAAGGCAAAUGCUGCUGGAACAAACCCACAAACCUCUGAUGAUCAAGUAAAAUCUGACCAUCAGAUUCCUGCAUCUGGUCAAUCUUCCUCUUCAUGUUUGUCGCAUAGCUAUGUGCGAGCUUAUGCAACUGUUUAUUCUCCUGCUUGAGCCCUCUAAUCUCCUGUUUGAGACUCAUCACUUCAGCCGCCAAUUAUUCAACUUGACGGGUUCGAGCAAAUAGGCGUUGAGCCAUAUUAGACACAGAACCUGCACACUGCACACUAAGAGCCAGAGAAUCCUUAACAGCCAACUCAUCAGACCGUUUGGAAAGUAGUCUGUUAUCUCUGGGAGUGACAAGGUUUCGGGCCACCACCGCAGCGGUCAUAUCAUUCUUCACCACCGAAUCCCCAACGGUAAGAGGACCAGUAUGGGAUAUGAAGGAUGGGCGCCAUAUGUUGUCUGGAGAAGGCGGGACUGCCUCUUCACCAAGAUUCAAGUCAAAACGACGGUCAAAGGGUCCAGACAUUUUCAAAGUGUUGAAGGAAGAAGAGAUCGGACAAAUCAAGAUCAUAGAAGUACAAGAGGGGAGUUUUCACAAGCGAAAAUUCAAGUGUGCUUUGAAACGAACUGCAUGCCUCUAUAAAAAAAUCAGCACUCGACGGGAUUUCAGAGAUCGAAGAGGCGAGCUCAGAAUUUGAAGAGGCCAUUCAAAAAUCGAAGAGGCAAGCUCAGAAAUCGGAGAAGCAUCUUGCUUUUCCAGACGCGUCGGCACCCGUCACACGCAAACUCAGCUUUGCAGAAAUCACGGGCAAUUUGUCGAAGCGCCGACCCUAGAUAUCGAAGAGGCGCCAGUCUUUUUCAGCCUCGUCAACACCUGUCAUAUGCACACUCAACUUUGCGCAAAUCACGGGCAAUUUGUCGAAGAUUUUCGGUGAAGGAGAAAACACGUGAAGUUUACUGUUCAAUCACCCAUCGGUUGCCGACACGAGUGAAAGAAUAGUACCUCUACAGGUAUCAAAGAAUUUCCUAUAACUGUCCACCUUCACCUUCCAUAGCAAGGCAGACAUACAGAGCAUUUCUUCAUCUCCAAAAAUGCUUUCCCAACGAAGCCUCUCGAGUCAUUCAAUGUUCCUUAUUCCUUGGGGUACCUCUGCAAGCCAAUGACUCCAAAGCAAAAGUAUCUCAUAUCACCAGGGUAGAAAGCAAGAGUAUCUCAUAUCAUGUGUUCUCCCUGUUCUUUCCUUUGUCCUUGUUCCUACCUACAAAGACAAGGAUAAAGAAAACAAUAUGCCGGAACUUCCACUCAAACUCGAGUAAGGAACCGACUGCUUGGAACCCUUCCCUGAUUGCCUACCUAGCACUGCUUGUUCUUCGUUCUUCGUUCAUCGUUCAUCGUUCUUCCAAGAUCAAGCCCCGAGGCCCUUGGAUCAACCAUCCACCAAUUCAAGAUCAAGCCCCGACGGCCCUUGAAGAAAGCACCAUCGUUCAUCAUCCGUUCAUCCAAGAUCAAGCCACAACGGCCCUUUGGAUCAACAACGUCAACAAAUCCACACAUCCAACCGUUCUUCAAGAUAAAGCCCAAAAGCCCUUGAAGAUCCGUUCAUCUUUGUUCUUCAAGAUCAAGCCCAAAAGCCCUUGGAGAUCCGUUCGUCAUUGUUCUUCAAAGAUCAAGCCCAAAAGCCCCUUUGAAGAUUCGCUCAAAUCCACCUUCAAGAUCAAGUCCACGGCCCUUGAAGAACGUUCAUCCUUAGAUCAAGCCCAACGGCCCUUUGGAUCAAUCACACAUCCACAAAUUGACACCUUACGGAGAUCGAAUCAGAUGAUCAAAAUAGAGAGAGAUUGUAACCCAAAACCAUCAAAAAUACAAAUAUUUGUUUGUGCACGUUGUUCUUGUCUCUUUCGUUUCAGAAAUUUUCCGUGUUCACAACCACUUGACACCAAAUGGCUUGACGCCAACAAUGACCCCAAAGGCAAGCAAAAUCCCAAACCAGUUAAGAAAAAAAUUAAGACUCCAUUCUUCUGUCAUAUUCUUUUCCCCUGUUUUGCUACCCCUAAUCCCAAAUGUGUCUUCGAUGCUCUUUGUCUCGUUAUUCUCUCACCUUAAUAUCUCACCUGCAAAAUCUUAACGCUGCUACUUUCCCUCACCAGCAAACCCUCAACACCAUGUAAUGCUAUGUUCUUCCAAAUCUAUAAGAAAAAAAAUGCAUGCAUAAACACGAUAGAAAUUUGCAAAAACCCACAACACAACCUAACUAAAAAUCUCACGGAUCAAAAGUUUCACCCAAAAGACCCCCCCCCCCAAAAUCUCUCUUAUCAAAUGAAUACUCCAAAAGAAAUUCAAUGGUUGAUAACAACCCAUUUAAAAUUGAACCCAAAAAAAUUAAAAGCUUCUGACAUUUAAAAUUGAACAAAACACAAUCCAUACAUUCUAGCAAAAACUGCAUGCAUAAACAUGCUAGAAAUUCACCAAUACCCACAGCACUGACCAAGACCCACAAAAUUAGCCAAAAGAUACAAUAUAGGGGAAAAAAGCUAAAUCUGGAAAAGGAAAAAAAAAAAAAAAAGGGGGUUGCAAAUCGAAGAAGCUGAAAAGAAAAGGAAAAAGGGCGUUAAGGGAGUAGCCAAACAGCUUCGAAAGCAAUUCAAUAGUUGAUAACAAUCCAUUUAAAUUGAACCCAAGAAGCUUCUACCAUUUCAAAUUCAACAAAACACAAUCUAUACAGUCGGAAAAAAAAACAGUACCAGAUGCGAGAUUAGAAGAACUCACCAAAAACAAAAAAACGAUUCCAUCCAACAAAAGAUUCAGGAAAAAGAAUAAAAAUUAUAUACCUUGUUGAUAAAGAGCUUGCAAAGCUGCAGAUAUAAACUGGAAAAUUCGAGCAACAACUUUUGCUGCAACUAAAAAUCAAAGCAGAUCAUAAAAGUACACCCAAAACUUGAAAAAAAAUUAAAUCACACACAAUCAGAAAAAUAGAAAAUUCACCAGGAAACGUUUGAUCGUAUCCUUAACUUUUCCUGAAAUCAAAAAUCAAACACAUCAGAGCAUAAACCACGAAAAAAAUAUAUAUUAAAAUCCUACAUGGCAAGAAAACCAAAUAACUCACCAAAGAACUUUAGAUCGCAUAUCACACAAUAAUGUUGUUGUUAACAUCCUCUUCGGUUCUACAAAAUCAGAAAAAGAAAAUUUGCACAGAAAACCCAUUUUGAUAUUCUUAUUUAAUUAUAAACUACAUCAUGUGGCAUUUUUCAGAUGCAGGAAAAAAGAAGAACAGAUGAAUUCCCACGAAUGUAACUCUUAAAAAAAAAUUAAUUCUACAACAAAACCCAAAAGCGAGCAACCAAAGUUUCUCACCUUAAGCACAAAUGUUGACACGCCCCGACCCUGAUAUUUCUCGAAUACCAGGAUAGACACGUGCUGACCGACACCCGAGGGUGACGAAAGCCAUUAAUUGAUACAAAAGCUAAGAAUAAGAAAUAAAUAAGGGUUAUGAAUUUAAAAACAAUGAGUUAAUAAUUUAGGAACGUGUUCAGAACAUACAGCUAAACCUAAUCACUAAGAAGAAUUAAGAUAAAAUUUAAUGAAUAAAGGAGUGAGUCCUACAUCGAGAGGAUCCGAAGAUGCUGCUGCGGAAGUGUCUUGACGCCGAGAUUAUGUGCCUUGAUUUUAAGUCCUGAAUGGGGGCGCAAAACAAAGGUGAGUAGACCAAGUUCAUAUAUAUAAAUAAUAAAACAGGUAUCAAGAUACUAACCCCCACAGUUUAAUAAUGAAAACUACUAGCAUAAUAAGUGAUGGAUUUAAUAAAAUCCUAGCAUGCCAAAUAUCUCAAAAGCCAUAUCGCGGAAACGCAUCGCGGAAAUCAAAACAGUAAACGUAUCAUAAAUCGUCUCGUAAACGCGGUGUGCUGCUAGAAAGAUCACUGAAUAAAUAUAACUCCCGGCUCAAUGCUUGCUCCGUGGUCUCUGCUCCCGUAGCUAGAGAUUACCAACUCCCGGCCCAAUACCUGCUCCAUGUCCCUCAGCCCGUAGCUAGGGAUUAUUUCUCCCGGCCUAAAUGCCAACACCAGUUCCUCGCCCCAGGCGGCAUAGUGUCUACUAGGUACGCACAAAUAGUUACGCCUCUAAUAAAUAACCACUUUAUAGUAUAAAGUCAUCCAUCGUCUAUACUAUAAAGAGGGGUUUCCAAAACAUUUUCUAGCAUCCUAUCGUCAUCCAUCGGAUAGUCUAUCAAUUCAUGGUUUUUAUAGAAAAUACGAUAUAUAAAAAAAAUAUAGCUCAAAAUAGGCUAACAAUUAUUUCCUCACCAAAACACGAGACGAAAUCAAUAAAUUCAGUAAACAUGAUUGAUAUAAAUCAAUUCACAAAUUUCGUAGGCAUGUUAAUCAUUUAUGCAAUUACUAUAAAAUCAUGUAAUUUUAGAAAGGGUCCACUCACCUUUGUUUUGCGCCCUUAUUCAGGACUUAGAAUCAAGGCACAUAAUCUCGGCGUCAAGACACUUCCGCAGCAUCUUCGGAUCCUCUCGAUGUAAGACUCACUCCUUUAUUCAUUAAAUUUUAUCUUAAUUCUUCUUAGUGAUUAGGUUUAGUUGUAUGUUCUGAACACGUUCCUAAAUUAUUAACUCAUUGUUUUUAAAUUCAUAACCCUUAUUUAUUUCUUAUUCUUAGCUUUUGUAUCAAUUAAUGGCUUUCGUCACCCUCCGGUGUCGGCCAGCACGUGUCUAUCUUGGUAUUCGAGGAAUAUCAGGGUCGAGGCGUGUCAAAUGUCUUCCAAAGCUGCAGACAAAAGUUCCAGAAAAAUAAAAACCUGAAUCCCCUGAAAUUCAAAAGAAAACCUGAUUAUACACCCAUAUGCAAAACCCGAUGGCACAAAAAAAACAAAAAAUGAGAAGAGAAACAAUUUCAAUAGAAAAUCCAUUUACAAAUCCAUUUCUCAAGAACCACAACACAACCUAACUAAAAAACUCACGGAUUAAAAGUUUCUCCCCAAAAAUCCCAUCUCUGUCAUCAAAUGAAAACUAUGAAAGCAACAACCCAUUUAAAAUUGAACCCAAAAAAAUUAAAAGCUUCUAACAUCUAAAAUUGAACAGAACACAAUCCAUACAGUUGCAUAAAAAAGUUGGAGAUGCAAGAUUAGAAGAACUCAACACAAAACUAUCCACUUUGAGACCAGCAGAGGCGAAGAGAGGAGAGAGCAAACGGCUACGGAAGAAGAGAAGCAAAAGAAAUAGGAAAAAAAUUGGACCAAAAGCAGUGAAAAGGAAUCACUGCAGAAAGCAGGAAAGAAA
rnacentral:lncRNA from 1 species